rnacentral:rRNA from 1 species
AUGGACGCUGCCGAUGGUUUGUCCACAAGUAAGAGCAACAUGGAUCCGUCACCAAGUCCACGCAGGCGUUCUUGGACCCCGAAACGAGUCAAGGGAGCUUCGUCGCUUCUGCAACUGUUGUCUAUUCCUCGCAUUAGGUGGUCUUCCAGCAACAAGGAUGACGACAAGAUUGAAUUGACAAGAGCUGAAGUAGAAUCAUUACGAAGCGAAAUUGCCGAUGCCGAUGAAAGGGAGUCCCAGCUAAAAGCCCGGUUAGAAAAUAUUGACGAAGUCUUGAGAUAUGCAUUCCUUUCCAGGUACCUCCAUAUCAGAAGUAGAUGGACUCAACUUCCUGGGGAGCCACCUAUCAUAGACGACGCCGAUGUCGAUGACUGGCUUCCUCGCUUUGUUGUCCUACAAGCAGUGUUUAUACUACUAUCUGAAGUCUACAGACCUGAGCCCGCAGGAAUCGCUGCUGCUGCGCGACGUGGAACCCACGUCCUACCCCGACGAUGGCGGUCGACCACAACCUCCCUCUCAGGGGCUUACACCGUUGCGGUUCCUCAGGACUCGGAAGGAGGAGCGUGGGCCGUAGAGACGGAAGAGGAGGCUGAGACAGCCGCGGUGCCUGCUGCAGCGACCAUGGCCACUACAUCGAAAAGAAAGACAACAAAAUGUAUUAGGCCCCCUUGUGCUGGAUUGGGCUCAACCCAAUUAUAA